GAUGAACGCUGGCGGCGUGCCUAAUACAUGUAAGUCGAGCGAACAGACGAGGAGCUUGCUCCUCUGACGUUAGCGGCGGACGGGUGAGUAACACGUGGAUAACCUACCUAUAAGACUGGGAUAACUUCGGGAAACCGGAGCUAAUACCGGAUAAUAUAUUGAACCGCAUGGUUCAAUAGUGAAAGACGGUUUUGCUGUCACUUAUAGAUGGAUCCGCGCCGCAUUAGCUAGUUGGUAAGGUAACGGCUUACCAAGGCAACGAUGCGUAGCCGACCUGAGAAGGUGAUCGGCCACACUGGAACUGAGACACGGUCCAGACUCCUACGGGAGGCAGCAGUAGGGAAUCUUCCGCAAUGGGCGAAAGCCUGACGGAGCAACGCCGCGUGAGUGAUGAAGGUCUUCGGAUCGUAAAACUCUGUUAUUAGGGAAGAACAAAUGUGUAAGUAACUAUGCACGUCUUGACGGUACCUAAUCAGAAAGCCACGGCUAACUACGUG
rnacentral:rRNA from 1 species